UACGUAGGGUGCGAGCGUUAAUCGGAAUUACUGGGCGUAAAGCGUGCGCAGGCGGUUCGUUGUGUCCUGUGUGAAAGCCCCGGGCUUAACCUGGGAAUGGCAUGGGAAACUGGCGGACUUGGAGUGUGGCAGAGGGGGGUGGAAUUCCGCGUGUAGCAGUGAAAUGCGUAGAGAUGCGGAGGAACACCGAUGGCGAAGGCAGCCCCCUGGGCCAACACUGACGCUCAGGCACGAAAGCGUGGGGAGCAAACAGG
rnacentral:rRNA from 1 species